UACAGAGGGGGCAAGCGUUGUUCGGAAUUACUGGGCGUAAAGGGCGCGUAGGCGGCCAACUAAGUCCGACGUGAAAUCCCAAGGCUUAACCUUGGAACUGCGUCGGAUACUGGAUGGCUUGAAUUCGGGAGAGGGAUGCAGAAUUCCAGGUGUAGCGGUGAAAUGCGUAGAUAUCUGGAGGAAUACCGGUGGCGAAGGCGGCAUCCUGGACCGACAUUGACGCUGAGGAGCGAAAGCUAGGGGAGCAAACGGG
rnacentral:rRNA from 1 species